AACGAACGCUGGUGGCAUGCCUAACACAUGCAAGUCGAACGAGACCUUCGGGUCUAGUGGCGCACGGGUGCGUAACGCGUGGGAACCUGCCCUUAGGUUCGGAAUAACUCCCCGAAAGGGGUGCUAAUACCGGAUAAUGUCUUCGGACCAAAGAUUUAUCGCCUUUGGAUGGGCCCGCGUUGGAUUAGCUAGUUGGUAGGGUAAAAGCCUACCAAGGCGACGAUCCAUAGCUGGUCUGAGAGGAUGAUCAGCCACACUGGGACUGAGACACGGCCCAGACUCCUACGGGAGGCAGAAGUGGGGAAAAUUGAACAAUGGGCGAAAGCCUGAUCCAGCAAUGCCGGGUGAGUGAUGAAGGCCUUAGGGUUGUAAAGCUCUUUUACCCGGGAUAAUAAUGACAGUACCGGGAGAAUAAGCUCCGGCUACUCCGUG
rnacentral:rRNA from 1 species